rnacentral:antisense_RNA from 1 species
CUUGAUCGACCCCAGCCACAGCGGCUUGGCCCGGUCCUUGCCGUAGGUGGCGAGCAGGGCCUGCGCCUC